UACGAAGGGGGCUAGCGUUGCUCGGAAUCACUGGGCGUAAAGCGCACGUAGGCGGAUCUUUAAGUCAGGGGUGAAAUCCCAAGGCUCAACCUUGGAACUGCCUUUGAUACUGGAGAUCUUGAGUCCGGGAGAGGUGAGUGGAACUGCGAGUGUAGAGGUGAAAUUCGUAGAUAUUCGCAAGAACACCAGUGGCGAAGGCGGCUCACUGGCCCGGUACUGACGCUGAGGUGCGAAAGCGUGGGGAGCGAGUCCGG
rnacentral:rRNA from 1 species